GAAAUUUAAAAAAAACCGGAAACACUAUGUAAUAGCGGAACAUGUCAUCCUACAAUUAACGGAGGUAAAUACUCUUCCAUUAAGAACGAUAAUUAUACGUUUUCUGGUGGAAAAAUACUCUUAUUUUCUGGUGGAACAAUGGUAUAUUUUAUAUUUUCCCCUCACUUCUGUGACCCAGUCACACUUCUGUCAUGCCAAACCACAGACAUAAAGUCUACAGGUGGGAAUCACCUAUCUGCGAAGGGAUAUGGAACGGUCCUAUUGUCGGAUUGAGCUAAUCACUGUGACGUAUAUCACAAUUAACGAAGAUUUACACGACAACGGACGUAAGUACAAAGUAGUUAAGAACGAUAAAAUAAUAACCAACGUCAAAUUAUUAUCUACAAAUAUACAAAUAUAACAAUUGUAUAGAAUUGAUAUGUGUUUAUAACUUCUUUGUGCAUGUGUUUUUAAGAUGACUUCACCAACCAAAAUCCCGGCGAUGUGGCAGGAACAUGAAGCAGCUGCAACUUCUGGCGUACUCAUCCACCGACCCUGCAGUGCCAAGGCACAUUUUGGCAGCCAGGGUGCUGGACGUAUCCACAAUAGUGGCACAUAAAAUUAAUUGGUAUGAGAGACGGCUGAAGGCCGAACAAAAAAAAAAGGAAUAUCUGGAUAAACAAUUGAAGGAGGCCCAGAAGUGGAUGGCAGACGAUGAUGACGCAAUGGCUGUGAAAAUGUCUUCAGAAGAAGAAAAAGAAGAACUCAGUCCUGACAGAAAUAAGCAAUAGAAUGCAACAAAACUUAAAACAAUUUAGUCUGAGGAAAAACACAUGGACUCAUGAGUAAAACUCUCUUUUUUGCAGUGUCCC